rnacentral:rRNA from 1 species
UUAAGCGACUAAGCGUACACGGUGGAUGCCCUGGCAGUCAGAGGCGAUGAAGGACGUGCUAAUCUGCGAUAAGCGUCGGUAAGGUGAUAUGAACCGUUAUAACCGGCGAUUUCCGAAUGGGGAAACCCAGUGUGUUUCGACACACUAUCAUUAACUGAAUCCAUAGGUUAAUGAGGCGAACCGGGGGAACUGAAACAUCUAAGUACCCCGAGGAAAAGAAAUCAACCGAGAUUCCCCCAGUAGCGGCGAGCGAACGGGGAGCAGCCCAGAGCCUGAAUCAGUGUGUGUGUUAGUGGAAGCGUCUGGAAAGGCGCGCGAUACAGGGUGACAGCCCCGUACACAAAAAUGCACAUGCUGUGAGCUCGAUGAGUAGGGCGGGACACGUGGUAUCCUGUCUGAAUAUGGGGGGACCAUCCUCCAAGGCUAAAUACUCCUGACUGACCGAUAGUGAACCAGUACCGUGAGGGAAAGGCGAAAAGAACCCCGGCGAGGGGAGUGAAAAAGAACCUGAAACCGUGUACGUACAAGCAGUGGGAGCACGCUUAGGCGUGUGACUGCGUACCUUUUGUAUAAUGGGUCAGCGACUUAUAUUCUGUAGCAAGGUUAACCGAAUAGGGGAGCCGAAGGGAAACCGAGUCUUAACUGGGCGUUAAGUUGCAGGGUAUAGACCCGAAACCCGGUGAUCUAGCCAUGGGCAGGUUGAAGGUUGGGUAACACUAACUGGAGGACCGAACCGACUAAUGUUGAAAAAUUAGCGGAUGACUUGUGGCUGGGGGUGAAAGGCCAAUCAAACCGGGAGAUAGCUGGUUCUCCCCGAAAGCUAUUUAGGUAGCGCCUCGUGAACUCAUCUCCGGGGGUAGAGCACUGUUUCGGCAAGGGGGUCAUCCCGACUUACCAACCCGAUGCAAACUGCGAAUACCGGAGAAUGUUAUCACGGGAGACACACGGCGGGUGCUAACGUCCGUCGUGAAGAGGGAAACAACCCAGACCGCCAGCUAAGGUCCCAAAGUCAUGGUUAAGUGGGAAACGAUGUGGGAAGGCCCAGACAGCCAGGAUGUUGGCUUAGAAGCAGCCAUCAUUUAAAGAAAGCGUAAUAGCUCACUGGUCGAGUCGGCCUGCGCGGAAGAUGUAACGGGGCUAAACCAUGCACCGAAGCUGCGGCAGCGACGCUUAUGCGUUGUUGGGUAGGGGAGCGUUCUGUAAGCCUGUGAAGGUGUGCUGUGAGGCAUGCUGGAGGUAUCAGAAGUGCGAAUGCUGACAUAAGUAACGAUAAAGCGGGUGAAAAGCCCGCUCGCCGGAAGACCAAGGGUUCCUGUCCAACGUUAAUCGGGGCAGGGUGAGUCGACCCCUAAGGCGAGGCCGAAAGGCGUAGUCGAUGGGAAACAGGUUAAUAUUCCUGUACUUGGUGUUACUGCGAAGGGGGGACGGAGAAGGCUAUGUUGGCCGGGCGACGGUUGUCCCGGUUUAAGCGUGUAGGCUGGUUUUCCAGGCAAAUCCGGAAAAUCAAGGCUGAGGCGUGAUGACGAGGCACUACGGUGCUGAAGCAACAAAUGCCCUGCUUCCAGGAAAAGCCUCUAAGCAUCAGGUAACAUCAAAUCGUACCCCAAACCGACACAGGUGGUCAGGUAGAGAAUACCAAGGCGCUUGAGAGAACUCGGGUGAAGGAACUAGGCAAAAUGGUGCCGUAACUUCGGGAGAAGGCACGCUGAUAUGUAGGUGAAGCGACUUGCUCGUGGAGCUGAAAUCAGUCGAAGAUACCAGCUGGCUGCAACUGUUUAUUAAAAACACAGCACUGUGCAAACACGAAAGUGGACGUAUACGGUGUGACGCCUGCCCGGUGCCGGAAGGUUAAUUGAUGGGGUUAGCGCAAGCGAAGCUCUUGAUCGAAGCCCCGGUAAACGGCGGCCGUAACUAUAACGGUCCUAAGGUAGCGAAAUUCCUUGUCGGGUAAGUUCCGACCUGCACGAAUGGCGUAAUGAUGGCCAGGCUGUCUCCACCCGAGACUCAGUGAAAUUGAACUCGCUGUGAAGAUGCAGUGUACCCGCGGCAAGACGGAAAGACCCCGUGAACCUUUACUAUAGCUUGACACUGAACAUUGAGCCUUGAUGUGUAGGAUAGGUGGGAGGCUUUGAAGUGUGGACGCCAGUCUGCAUGGAGCCGACCUUGAAAUACCACCCUUUAAUGUUUGAUGUUCUAACGUUGACCCGUAAUCCGGGUUGCGGACAGUGUCUGGUGGGUAGUUUGACUGGGGCGGUCUCCUCCUAAAGAGUAACGGAGGAGCACGAAGGUUGGCUAAUCCUGGUCGGACAUCAGGAGGUUAGUGCAAUGGCAUAAGCCAGCUUGACUGCGAGCGUGACGGCGCGAGCAGGUGCGAAAGCAGGUCAUAGUGAUCCGGUGGUUCUGAAUGGAAGGGCCAUCGCUCAACGGAUAAAAGGUACUCCGGGGAUAACAGGCUGAUACCGCCCAAGAGUUCAUAUCGACGGCGGUGUUUGGCACCUCGAUGUCGGCUCAUCACAUCCUGGGGCUGAAGUAGGUCCCAAGGGUAUGGCUGUUCGCCAUUUAAAGUGGUACGCGAGCUGGGUUUAGAACGUCGUGAGACAGUUCGGUCCCUAUCUGCCGUGGGCGCUGGAGAACUGAGGGGGGCUGCUCCUAGUACGAGAGGACCGGAGUGGACGCAUCACUGGUGUUCGGGUUGUCAUGCCAAUGGCACUGCCCGGUAGCUAAAUGCGGAAGAGAUAAGUGCUGAAAGCAUCUAAGCACGAAACUUGCCCCGAGAUGAGUUCUCCCUGACCCUUUAAGGGUCCUGAAGGAACGUUGAAGACGACGACGUUGAUAGGCCGGGUGUGUAAGCGCAGCGAUGCGUUGAGCUAACCGGUACUAAUGAACCGUGAGGCUUAACCUU